CGGAUUGUAGUCUGCAACCCGACUACAUGAAGCUGGAAUCGCUAGUAAUCGCGGAUCAGAAUGCCGCGGUGAAUACGUUCCCGGGUCUUGUACACACCGCCCGUCACACCAUGGGAGUCGGAAAUGCCCGAAGUCUGUGACCCAACCGGAAGGAAGGAGCAGCCGAAGGCAGGUCUGAUGACUGGGGUGAAGUCGUAACAAGGUAUC
rnacentral:rRNA from 1 species